ACUCAAGUAAGAAUUUUGUGUACUCUUCAUAUGAAGUGUCCUAGUGGUUUCUGAUAAGAGUACAAUGCAGCCCAUGCAUUUAAUCUAAUACUUCUAUGCACUCCCUCUAUUGUAAUUUUAUUUGGCUUUGAUGAACAGGCAAAUGUGACACGUACAAAUCAUAUCAUGUGGACAAUGGGUGAUGAUUUUCAGUACCAAUAUGCUGAAUCUUGGUUCAAACUAAUGGACAAGUUUAUCCAUUAUGUUCAAGAUUUGUUGCUGUGCAUAGGAUCACAUCCUUUGACUCAUGUUCAAUAGGUCAUUGGCAAUGAUUCAUAGUUCUAAGAGGAAGAUUGUAGUACACAGUUUAUUGGUGUGUCCAUGCUCCUAUCAGGCAAGGGAAUUCAUGAGAACUAGUUUAACUGAGAGAAUGGUCCUUGAUGGAGUGCAAUGGCAAAACAGGAUUCAUGUAGCUGAUUCCAGUUGGUCUUCAGAUGAUGUUGAUCUUCUUGGCAGUUAUCUGUUUGGAUGGUGAUGGUUGCAAGUUAAGAAGUGGACUGGUGAAAAUUGAGGAAGGUUU